GUCGUGGCCCUGAUCGAAGUCGUUCCCGUUCCUCUAUAACUGGUCCGGUCAAACAGGAGCCGACAGCAACCCUUUCACCGACGGUCGCUGUACAGUUCACCUGUAGCUGUCCCAGCAACAUUCAGGGAAAGGACAACACACUCGUCUUAACGGGGGUGUCUUUAAGUAGCCCUGUCUGACGUUAACCGUCCCUCUUUGCAGGUCGUGUGAUUGCAAUAUGAGCUGACUAUAAAUGCGUCCCAUCAUCAAAAUACUGCUUGAGAUGGUCCGAGUGACCCUGUAAGAGGUGAGAAGACUUCUGUCGUGUGAGUUCAGCAUCUGUAGUGUGGCACGUUUCCUGAGAAUCUGUGCAUCAAUGGACGGACUGUGACGGGCUGGGGGCUGUGGUCCCUCUCCAGACCGCUGGAGGGGUCUUGCAUGGUGACUUCUGUCUGAAGUCUCUCUCUUACAGGUGCUGAUGGCUGUAGGACUGGAGCUAGUGCAGCAGCUCCUGUCCAGCAAGGGGAAGUUCUGAGUGGUGCAAGAGAAACCUGAUCCCAAAGUGUGGCUUGGUCUUUCAUAUCUGCUGUUAUCUGUUGGAUCAGCUCUGUAAAAUAAAGACAUGUUAACCACA